AUGGAAGGCUCAGUGGACAUGGACAUGAGCCCCCUGAGGCCCCAGAACCAACAAAGAUUAUCGCUUUAAAGUGGAUACUGAUGAAAAUGAGCACCAAUUAUCUUUAAGAACAGUCAGGUUAGGGACUCAUGCAAAGGAUGAAUUGCACAUUGUUGAAGCAGAGGCAAUGAAUUACAAAUGCAGUCCAAUUAAAGUAACACUGCCAACUUUGAAAAUGUCUGUACAACCAGUGAUUUCCCUUGGGGGCUUUGAAAUUACACCACCCAGUCUUACAGUUGAAGUGUGGUUCAGGGCCUGUACAUAUUCAUAGACAGUAUUUAGUAUCUGUGGAGGAAGAUGCAGAGUCAGAAGACGAAGAGGAGGAGGAUGUGAAACUCUUAAGUGUAACUGGAAAGUGAUCUGCCCCUGGAAGUGGUAACAAGUUUCCACAGAAAAAAAGUAAAACUUGCUGCCACUCCUGAAGAAGAAGGAGGAGGAGAGGGAGGGGGAGCAGGAGGAGGAAGAGGAAGGAGAAAGAGAAGGAGAAUAAGAAUAAGAAGAAGGAGGAGGCGGAGGAAGUGGAGGAGGAGGGAAGAGGAGGAGGAGGAGAUUUUGAUGAUGAGGAAACUGAAGAAAAAGUGCCAGUGAAGAAAUCUAUAUGAGAUGCUCCAGCCAAAAAUGCACAAAAAUCAUUUCCACCAUGGAAAAGACUCAAAACCAUCAACACCAAGAUCAAAAGGAUGAGAAUCCUAAAAAAAAAAAAAAAACCAGGAAAAAACUCCUAAAACAGCAAAAGGACCUAAUUCUGUAGAAGACAUUAAAGCAAAAAUGCAAACAAACACAGAAAAA
rnacentral:lncRNA from 1 species